rnacentral:rRNA from 1 species
CCUACGGGAGGCAGCAGUGAGGAAUAUUGGUCAAUGGACGCUAGUCUGAACCAGCCAAGUAGCGUGCAGGAUGACUGCUCUAUGUGUUGUAAACUUCUUUUAUAUGAGGAUAAACUGCAGUAUGUAUACUGCUCUGCAUGUAUCUUAUGAAUAAGGAUCGGCUAACUCCGUGCCAGCAGCCGCGGUAAUACGGAGGAUCCGAGCGUUAUCCGGAUUUAUUGGGUUUAAAGGGUGCGUAGGCGGGUGGAUAAGUCAGUUGUGAAAGUUUGCGGCUCAACCUCUGAAUUGCAGUUGAUACUGGCAUCCUUGAGUACAGUAGAGGUAGGCGGAAUGUGUGGUGUAGCGGUGAAAUGCUUAGAGAUCACGAAGAACUCCGAUUGCGAAGGCAGCCUGCUGGACUGUAACUGACGCUGAUGCUCGAAAGUGUGGGGAUCAAACAGGAUUAGAUACCCUGGUAGUC